rnacentral:rRNA from 1 species
GUUGUGAGGUUAAGCGACCAAGCGUACACGGUGGAUGCCCUGGCAGUCAGAGGCGAUGAAGGACGUGCUAAUCUGCGAAAAGCGCCGGUAAGGUGAUAUGAACCGUUAUAACCGGCGAUGUCCGAAUGGGGAAACCCAGUGUGAUUCGUCACACUAUCAUUAACUGAAUCCAUAGGUUAAUGAGGCGAACCGGGGGAACUGAAACAUCUAAGUACCCCGAGGAAAAGAAAUCAACCGAGAUUCCCCCAGUAGCGGCGAGCGAACGGGGAGGAGCCCAGAGUCUGAAUCAGCAUGUGUGUUAGUGGAAGCGUCUGGAAAGGCGCGCGAUACAGGGUGAGAGCCCCGUACACAAAAGCGCAUAUGCUGUGAGCUCGAUGAGUAGGGCGGGACACGUGGUAUCCUGUCUGAAUAUGGGGGGACCAUCCUCCAAGGCUAAAUACUCCUGACUGACCGAUAGUGAACCAGUACCGUGAGGGAAAGGCGAAAAGAACCCCGGCGAGGGGAGUGAAACAGAACCUGAAACCGUGUACGUACAAGCAGUGGGAGCCUCUCUUUAUGGGGGGUGACUGCGUACCUUUUGUAUAAUGGGUCAGCGACUUAUAUUCUGUAGCAAGGUUAACCGCAUAGGGGAGCCGAAGGGAAACCGAGUCUUAAUUGGGCGUUAAGUUGCAGGGUAUAGACCCGAAACCCGGUGAUCUAGCCAUGGGCAGGUUGAAGGUUGGGUAACACUAACUGGAGGACCGAACCGACUAAUGUUGAAAAAUUAGCGGAUGACCUGUGGCU